rnacentral:rRNA from 1 species
CCUACGGGAGGCAGCAGUGGGGAAUUUUGGACAAUGGGCGAAAGCCUGAUCCAGCAAUGCCGCGUGAGUGAAGAAGGCCUUCGGGUUGUAAAGCUCUUUUGUCUGGGAAGAAACGGUGUGGGCUAAUAUCCCGCACUAAUGACGGUACCUGAAGAAUAAGCACCGGCUAACUACGUGCCAGCAGCCGCGGUAAUACGUAGGGUGCAAGCGUUAAUCGGAAUUACUGGGCGUAAAGCGUGCGCAGGCGGUUUUGUAAGUUUGUCGUGAAAGCCCCGGGCUCAACCUGGGAAUUGCGAUGAAGACUGCAAGGCUUGAAUCUGGCAGAGGGGGGUAGAAUUCCACGUGUAGCAGUGAAAUGCGUAGAGAUGUGGAGGAACACCGAUGGCGAAGGCAGCCCCCUGGGUCAAGAUUGACGCUCAUGCACGAAAGCGUGGGGAGCAAACAGGAUUAGAUACCCUGGUAGUCCACGCCCUAAACGAUGUCUACUAGUUGUCGGGUUUUAAUUAACUUGGUAACGCAGCUAACGCGUGAAGUAGACCGCCUGGGGAGUACGGUCGCAAGAUUAAAACUUAAAGGAAUUGACGG